ACCCGGCCUCCCAGCCCCCACUCCACCCAUGACUGUUUGUGUUGGGAGCUGCUUCGAGGCUGCUGAGCUGUCGACUAAUGUCAAGGCUGACCUCAGCUGGCAGCGCCCUUCUCCUACUUCCCUGUCCAGCCCCCUAGCAAAUAUCCCACACGAGCCAGCAGCUGCAGACCAGUCCACGACGAAUCAGCAAGUGCAGUCCAAUCCAGAAGAAACCGCAAGGCUUGCUGACUGGCCUGAGUCCGUGGAAGGAAGCUCAUGAGAAGUUCUUUGUCGAGUUUCUCUCUAUGAAGCCAAGCUCAGCAACACAAUGAUGUAAGGCGAACAAUACAUGUGUGUCCUUAGUGAAGAUUAGCGAACGAACAAGGCAGAGCAAAGCAAACCAAUGCUUGAGCCCCCACUAUCUGUGGGGUCAUGUUUAUCUUCCAUCUAAACAUCAUGCCUCCUUUCACAUGUCUGCUAUAGCAAAACAUCCUUUCACCUGUGUGCCCCAGCAAAACAUUAUUUGACAUAACUGAAGUUUCUACUUCAAUAGAGAGUGAGGAACACAUGAAAUCAAGGCAUCUCUGAAAGGCAGGAUGCUGAGCGGUCAAAGCUGAGUCAGGAGUGGAUGCUGCAUCAGCAACCAGCCCAGGCAUGUAGGAGUUGGAGUCAGAAGGGUGAUCAUUAAGUGAUGGCAAAGAAAUUGAUUCAGUUUGAUUGACUCUAGUUGAGGAGCCUGCGGAGGUGGACGCCUAACAUCAACAAUACCUUUUGAGCACCCAACUCUUGGAGUUCUGGAUACGAAUGUCAUGGGUCUUCGAGCACCUGUACACCGUGCUUUGAUUUCUGCCUGGAUCUGUCCUCCAGCCCUCUCUACCGACCCUUUCUGACGUUCCUUUCUUCCUGCAUUCAGCGGCUAUUGUUUGAGUGCUUACUAUACAUUCUAGAAGCAAAGAGACUGAUAAAUCAAAACAUGAUAAAGAAGCAAUCUAUGCUACAGGAAGGAAGCAACCAACAAAGCAAAAAGGAACCUGUCCAGUGUGUAAGGUGGCUAAAAAGCCAAGUAGGGUGAGGGGAUGGGGACUCCUGGGAGGGGAGGAAGAGUAAGAAGCCAUGACAACUGGGAGGUCAGGAAAGACACAGGUGCAGUCAUGGUCAUUUGUAACAGGUAUGUUGGGUUUGAACAAGAGAUGGAAGUAUCAUGGGGAAAUAACUUCGGUGAAGGGGAUUGUGAAGACAAAUGUUGUGAGCAGGGAAGAGUCAUAUUGUCCAUACGGAGCAACUGGAGUCUGGAGACUGUUGCCUGUAGCUGUAGCAUCUGCCACUUAACCCAGAAUAUAUAACACAAUUUUAGAUUAUCAUCUUGCCCAGUAUGUCUCUCCUCUUGAGUUCCUCACCCUUUCUGCAUUCAAUCAAUUUGUCCCAGCCUGUCCUAACCCUGAGCAUGCAGCUUUCUCCAAACCUGCAGGAUUGCAAUCCUAGCUACUUUGGAACCUUCAGUGGGAGCAUGCUAAGUUCAAGACCUGCUUGGGUUACCAAGCAAGUUCAAGGCAGCUUGAAAAGACCCUCACUAGAAGUAAAAGACUGGAGAUGUAGCUUGGUGACAAAGUGUUUGCCUGGCCUGUACAAAUGCCCUUAAGUUCAAUCCCCAGUCUACAAAAGUACAAUUUUUAAAAUCAAAAGAAUUGCAGGGAGCACUCAGAAGGAUGCAAGACAACACUGACCUCUGACAUUGGGUAUCCCAUUUCUAGCUGGAUUUUCAGUCUAGGAGCCAGGUUUGGGAGUAGGGGAAAGGCUCAGGCUGUAAGGUCGGUCAAGCUGAUGGUUUCCAGGAGAAAGAAGCCAAAUUCUAGCUUAAAGGGGGAAGAGAAGCUGUUCUAAAGCUUAAGUAUGGAGAUCCUCCUGGAAGGGUCUGUGUCAUGCAGACGCAGCCAGGCAAGAAACAAGGAGUAAUGAUUCUAAAACCGAAAUGUUUCCCAGGUCAGUUCAGAAAAGGUCUGGAAACAGGAAGUUUAGAUAAACAUCGAGGU
rnacentral:lncRNA from 1 species